AUUGAACGCUGGCGGCAUGCUUUACACAUGCAAGUCGAACGGUAACAGGUUAAGCUGACGAGUGGCGAACGGGUGAGUAAUGCAUCGGAACGUGCCCGGUCGUGGGGGAUAACGCAGCGAAAGCUGCGCUAAUACCGCAUACGAUCUAAGGAUGAAAGCGGGGGACCGUAAGGCCUCGCGCGAUCGGAGCGGCCGAUGUCAGAUUAGGUAGUUGGUGGGGUAAAGGCUCACCAAGCCAACGAUCUGUAGCUGGUCUGAGAGGACGACCAGCCACACUGAGACUGAGACACGGCCCAGACUCCUACGGGAGGCAGCAGUGGGGAAUUUUGUACAAUGGGCGAAAGCCUGAUCCAGCAAAGCCGCGUGCAGGAAGAAGGCCUUCGGGUUGUAAACUGCUUUUGUACGGAGCGAAAAGGUCUCCUCUAAUACAGGGGGCUCAUGACGGUACCGUAAGAAUAAGCACCGGCUAACUACGUGCCAGCCGCAGCAGUAA
rnacentral:rRNA from 1 species